ACAGCCCAGAUCUACAGCUAAGGUCCCAAAGUCAGGUUAAGUGGAAAACGAUGUGGAGAUACGCAGACAACCAGGAUGUUGGCUCAGAAGCAGCCACUCAUUCAAAGAGUGCGUAAUAGCUCACUGGUCGAGCGUCUCUGCGCGGAGAAUUUAACGGGGCUAAACCUGACACCGAAGCUUAGGCAAUGUAGUAAUACAUUGGGUAGGGGAGCGUUGUAUACGCGGUGAAACAGUAGCGCAAGCGGCUGUGGAGUGUAUAGAAGUGAGAAUGCCGGAAUGAGUAGCGCGAAUGCAGUGAGAAUCUGCAUGGCCGAAAGCCUCAGGUUUCUGGAGGAAGGUUCGUCCGCUCCAGGUUAGUCGGGAGCUAAGGUGAGGCCUAACGGCGUAGCCGAUGCACAGACGGUAGAGAUUCCGUCACCACCAAAAGAGUUAAACACAGGGACACAUUUGAAGUCUCGGAGCCGGGUGUUGGUUCCGGUAGCGAUCGAGGGAAGUUAGUACCGAAGUCCGGGAUGGAAGAUGGCGAGAAAAGCUGUGUGUAUUUCUGCGGUGCCCGUACCGCAAACCGACACAGGUAGGUAGGAAGAAGAUUCUAAGGCCAACGGGAGAAGGGUUGUUAAGGAACUCGGCAAAUUGACCCCGUAACUUCGGGAGAAGGGGUGCUCCAGCGAUGGAGCCGCAGAGAAUCGGCCCAAGCAACUGUUUACCAAAAACACAGGUUUGUGCUAAAUCGAAAGAUGACGUAUACGAGCUGACGCCUGCCCGGUGCUGGAAGGUUAAGAGGAGAUGUGCAAGCAUUGAAUCGAAGCCCCAGUGAACGGCGGCCGUAACUAUAACGGUCCUAAGGUAGCGAAAUUCCUUGUCAGGUAAGUUCUGACCCGCAUGAAAGGCGUAAUGAUUUGGGCACUGUCUCGACAGCCCGCCCGGCGAAAUUGUAGUACCGGUGAAGAUGCCGGUUACCCGCGACAAGACGGAAAGACCCCAUGGAGCUUUACUGUAGCCUAAUAUUGGGUUUCGAUGUUGCAUGCACAGGAUAGAUGGGACACAGGGAAGUGAUCGCUUUGGCGGUCAUGGAGUGGCCGUUGGGAUACCAUCCUUGCGAUAUUGGAAUUCUAACCUGCGCCUUUGAAUCAAGGCGGGGGACAUUGUUAGGUGGGCAGUUUGACUGGGGCGGUCGCCUCCUAAAGAGUAACGGAGGCGUUCAAAGGUUCGCUCAGCUUGAACGGAAAUCAAGCAAAAGAGUGCAAACGCAGAAGCGAGCCUAACUGCGAGACUGACGGGUCGAGCAGUAACGAAAGUUGGAGUUAGUGAUCCGGUGGUAUGUGAGUGGAAAUGCCAUCGCUCAACGGAUAAAAGUUACCCUGGGGAUAACAGGCUGAUCUCCCCCAAGAGUCCACAUCGACGGGGAGGUUUGGCACCUCGAUGUCGGCUCAUCGCAUCCUGGGGCUGUAGUAGGUCCCAAGGGUUGGGCUGUUCGCCCAUUAAAGCGGUACGCGAGCUGGGUUCAGAACGUCGUGAGACAGUUCGGUCCCUAUCUGUCGUGGGCGCAGGAUAUUUGAUGGGAGCUGUUCCUAGUACGAGAGGACCGGAGCGGACGUACCUCUGGCGCACCAGUUGUUCUGCCAAGAGCAUAGCUGGGCAACUAUGUACGGAUCGGAUAAACGCUGAAAGCAUCUAAGCGUGAAGCCGACCCAAAGAUAAGAUAUCCCACUGAUUCGAUCAGGUAAGAUCCCUUGAAGACUACAAGGUUGAUAGGCACAAUGUGUAAGUGGAGUGAUCCAUUCAGCAAGCGUGUACUAAUAGAUCGAGGGCUUGACCAC
rnacentral:rRNA from 1 species